rnacentral:rRNA from 1 species
AAGAUUAAGCCAUGCAUGUCUAAGUAUAAGCAAUUAUACAGCGAAACUGCGAAUGGCUCAUUAUAUAAGUUAUCGUUUAUUUGAUAGUACCUUACUACUUGGAUAACCGUGGUAAUUCUAGAGCUAAUACAUGCUAAAAAUCCCGACUUCGGAAGGGAUGUGUUUAUUAGAUUAAAACCAAUGCCCUCCGGGGCUCCUUGGUGAUUCAUGAUAACUAUUCGAAUCGCAU